UUCUUUGGUAGCUGGCUUGUGCUUCGUGCAGUUGGAUGCUUUCCACCCAAACCACGUUGGCUGGCUGUAAAACCUGCUGGCUGUUCAUUCCUGCUUGUUCUGAGAUGCACGUGGGUGAAGGGUCACGUCCAUCGCUUAGUUAAAAGCUCUCCUGAACAACCUUUCAAACCAAAGCCCCAAAGGGUAAGAAGUCAGAGACCUGCCUGAAGAAGAGCAGAGUAGCCCUCGGUCAGCGCUGUCACCUGGAGGAGGGAUUCCUCGCGGCGCUCGGGCAGCAAUUGUUGCCGAGUUUUUGCAAAGAGCCGUGUCCUGCAGCCCGAUCAUUGUUUGGUGACCAGCAGCUGGGGAUGACUGAUACAAGACAGGAAUUUCCUGCGCUUCCUCUUCCCUGUUGUCCUCAGCACCUUAUUUCCUACACGCGUGCAGAGCGUUCAUGCUGGGAGCCAGCUGAAGUGCCAAAGGUGCCACAGAAGCAGCGAGUUGGAGCCAGCUUUGUCGCCAGGUGGCAGCGUGGGAGCAGGAAAGGGUUCCUUUCCUCUCCUGGAAACACCAGAAGGGAAUCUGCUUUUCCUGGGUAGAGGAAAAAGAUGGUCGUGCACAGGGCUCCCUGGGUGACUACGUUCCUUUGAAAAUAACUCAGAAGUCAUCAUGGUCACACAACUGCUGAGGAAAGCACGAAACCUCAGGUGGGACUUCUUCAACACACCAUUCCCAGAGAAGACACCAUUGCUGCAGUCUCAGUGGGGUACGCUGCACAGAGUGCAGUCAGGAGGUCACCAGAUAAUGAAAAAAAGAGCAUGAAAAAAACGAAGCCACAAGGACUCUGUUCUCUUACUGCCUAUUUGUGGUAAACGUGCCUUUGUGCAUUAGUAGUCUGUAUGUUUGCUGCGUUACUACAAACACGAGAUGCAUGGAUGUGCCUUUUUUACAGUGGAACACCUCUGAGAAGGCUUCAAAGUUCUGCAGAGAUCCCAUCACCCUGAACAAAGAGAAGGAACUUAGUUACACGGAUGCAGUGCACGGAGACCAUUGCUCUGGAAAACAGAAAGCUAUGUCCACGAGGUGAUUUACAGUCAGAUAACCCAGUUCCAGCAAUGAGCCACUCUCUCCUUUUGUGCUGUAUUGGUGGAAAGCGUUGAAGCGAGUGAUACUAUCAGUAAAUAAACCCACCUGUACUUCAGAGGGCUGUGAACAUCUGUCUUUAUUGACUGGCUGGCAUAUUCUGGUCUGUAGGAACCACACCAAACCUAGACAAGGAAAAUUGAUAAUUAGUGGGUCAGCAUUAAAAGGAUUUCAAUUCUGAUACUUUCUCCCUGUUUUUCAAAGUUUUUUUUCCUAAGAGCCAUCCCCUUCGUUACAAUAUAGCUGGGAGUGUGUUUUAUAGAGGAAACAGAAUAGCUACAACAACUUUGCAAGCAGAACUCAAUACUGAUUUUCUCCCUAAAUUCUAGACUAACCCAAUUUAUACUUUCACGUAGCAUGUAAUGAGUAUCCAAGGGUUAUUACCUGGGCAAAGUUGAGGAAGAAAAGCUGUUUGUGGGACAGAUUCAGUCCAGGCAACUUUGGUUCCUUCCCUUCUCGUUCCAGCCAUUUUAAAUAAGCCUACAAAUUAUCACAGAUUCAAUUCAGAGAAUGGCAUAUUCAAACAUGAUGAGUAUUUUGAAUGUUACUUUAGGGCUAGAGAUUUCAGUCACAAUGUAUGUGAACCCAGCAUGACUUUCAUUCUGUAUUUUUGUAGUUUUCAUCUUUCUGAUACAAAGAGAAUGAUUAAUUUUUUUGGGG